CGUAGGGCGCGAGCGUUGUCCGGAUUUAUUGGGCGUAAAGAGCUCGUAGGCGGCUUGUCGCGUCGACUGUGAAAACCCGCGGCUCAACUGUGGGCGUGCAGUCGAUACGGGCAGGCUGGAGUUCGGUAGGGGAGACUGGAAUUCCUGGUGUAGCGGUGAAAUGCGCAGAUAUCAGGAGGAACACCGGUGGCGAAGGCGGGUCUCUGGGCCGAUACUGACGCUGAGGAGCGAAAGCGUGGGGAGCGAACAGGAUUAGAUACCCUGGUAGUCCACGCUGUAAACGUUGGGCGCUAGGUGUGGGGGGCCUCUCCGGUUCUCUGUGCCGCAGCUAACGCAUUAAGCGCCCCGCCUGGGGAGUACGGCCGCAAGGCUA
rnacentral:rRNA from 1 species